rnacentral:rRNA from 1 species
UGGGGAAUAUUGGACAAUGGGCGCAAGCCUGAUCCAGCAAUGCCGCGUGAGUGAUGAAGGCCUUAGGGUUGUAAAGCUCUUUCGCACGCGACGAUGAUGACGGUAGCGUGAGAAGAAGCCCCGGCUAACUUCGUG